AUUGAACGCUGGCGGCAGGCCUAACACAUGCAAGUCGAGCGGGGUUUUCGGACCUAGCGGCGGACGGGUGAGUAAUGCGUAGGAAGCUACCCGAUAGAGGGGGAUACCAGUUGGAAACGACUGUUAAUACCGCAUAAUGUCUACGGACCAAAGUGUGGGACCUUCGGGCCACAUGCUAUCGGAUGCGCCUACGUGGGAUUAGCUAGUUGGUGGGGUAAUGGCUCACCAAGGCGACGAUCCCUAGCUGGUUUGAGAGGAUGAUCAGCCACACUGGAACUGAGACACGGUCCAGACUCCUACGGGAGGCAGCAGUGGGGAAUAUUGGACAAUGGGCGCAAGCCUGAUCCAGCCAUGCCGCGUGUGUGAAGAAGGCCUUCGGGUUGUAAAGCACUUUCAGUAGGGAGGAAGGAUGUUGUGUUAAUAGCACAGCAUUUUGACGUUACCUACAGAAGAAGCACCGGCUAACCCUGUGCCAGCCGCCGCCGUAAUAC
rnacentral:rRNA from 1 species